rnacentral:tRNA from 1 species
GGGGUUGUGGCUUAGUGGAAGAGCACUUGCCUAGCGUGUAUGAGGCACUGGGUUCAAUUCUCAGCACCACA